rnacentral:rRNA from 1 species
AGACUUUGAUCCUGGCUCAGGAUGAACGCUGGCGGUCUGCUUAACACAUGCAAGUCGAACGGUCUCUUCGGAGAUAGUGGCGGACGGGUGAGUAACGCGUGAGAAUCUAGCUCCUGGACGGGGACAACAGAGGGAAACUUCUGCUAAUCCCGGAUGAGCCGAAAGGUAAAAGAGUAAUCGCCAGGAGAUGAGCUCGCGUCUGAUUAGCUAGUUGGGAGUGUAAAAGACUACCAAGGCGACGAUCAGUAGCUGGUCUGAGAGGAUGAUCAGCCACACUGGGACUGAGACACGGCCCAGACUCCUACGGGAGGCAGCAGUGGGGAAUUUUCCGCAAUGGGCGAAAGCCUGACGGAGCAAGACCGCGUGGGGGAAGAAGGCUCUUGGGUUGUAAACCCCUUUUCUCUGGGAAGAAGAAAGUGACGGUACCAUGAGGAAUAAGCAUCGGCCACAC